CUUUUUUUGAUCUUUUUGGGGAUGGACGCCUUGUAAUGGUAUCCGUGGUUCAAAGAGUAUGCAUAUUUUAGUAACUUUUGGGACGUAGUUUUGAAUUGCUUUCCAGAAUGACUGAGCCUAAGUAGUGUUAAAAUAAGUCAGAGUUGCGGCAAGUGGGGAGAUGGAGUAGAAGGUUAAGGGAUAUAUUGUUAUUCAUUCAGAACAAGGCGCAGCACGACUGGGGGAGAGGGACGGGAGAGUGGUGCUCAUCACGACUAGGGCCACCGAGGUCCCUCUGCAGGGGCAGACUCUGCACCGAUAUCUUUAGCUGUUGCUGAGGGCUACAAACACAGGCUACGGAUGCUGCUCGUACACUGAGCGCGCCCCACCUUCCCCUUCGCGGGCUGCAGCCACCCGUAUUUAUGGAGGCGAGAUGGAGAGCUCUGUAGUCAGCUUGCUGCUGAAGACCGCAGCUGCGGUGCUGAGAAGCUUCACAGCCACCCUGCACAGCUACCAGGACGCUGUGGCCGCCAGCACUCUCUGGACCAGGCAGGUGUGGAGUUCACCACCUUGACUUAUCACCCAGGCGCUCAGCCCUCUCGGCUCCUGGGCUAUGUUUUACCCAGCUGUAGCUGGGUCGGAUUUUUAUGUGCGUGCUUCUGGAAUACCUGAGGAUUCUUCCUAAUGACCACACCUGGGAAUUUCCUGGAUCAUCUGCCCACUCUAGUGGUGAUCUCAUUUCUCAGAAAGCUACUGACAAAAAUCAACAUGUCACUAAGUUAAGAAGAUGCUUAUGAAAUGGUUAAAAAUUUGGAGAUAACUUUGCUGUUGUUGUAAUUACUGAGGUCAACUUUCAGUGCUCGAUUCUUUCUCAGUGUGCCUACAAGUUUCUCAAAGAAGUUAUGAGAAUUCCAAUGCCUAUCUUUCCUAAAAUUUCUUCCAUUUUUUUCCAACAGGUAAGAAUUUUUUUCUUUUCACAACUUAGAUAUGUAUAUCAUUCCAUUUUUUCAAGUUCAUUAACGC
rnacentral:lncRNA from 1 species